rnacentral:rRNA from 1 species
UACGUACCGUCCAAACGUUAUUCGGAAUCACUGGGCUUAAAGAGUUCGUAGGCGGCUCAGAAAGUUGGGUGUGAAAUCCCUCGGCUCAACCGAGGAAUUGCGCUCAAAACUACUGAGCUAGAGGGAGAUAGAGGUGAGCGGAACUGAUGGUGGAGCGGUGAAAUGCGUUGAUAUCAUCAGGAACACCGGAGGCGAAGGCGGCUCACUGGGUCUUUCCUGACGCUGAGGUAACGAAAGCUAGGGGAGCGAACGGG